UCGACUCGAGCGAAGCGAGAGAACGUUGCGUCAGCAACGGCCCGCAGGGCGAGCCACGCAGUGGCGAGUCAUCCUCUAUCACCGACCA
rnacentral:sRNA from 1 species